rnacentral:piRNA from 1 species
UAUGGCUAGCCAAUUUGACUUCC